AUGGUGGGCACUCUAAGGAGACUGCCGGUGACAAACCGGAGGAAGGUGGGGAUGACGUCAAGUCAUCAUGGCCCUUACGGCCUGGGCUACACACGUGCUACAAUGGUCGGUACAGAGGGUUGCCAAGCCGCGAGGUGGAGCUAAUCUCACAAAACCGAUCGUAGUCCGGAUCGCAGUCUGCAACUCGACUGCGUGAAGUCGGAAUCGCUAGUAAUCGCAAAUCAGAAUGUUGCGGUGAAUACGUUCCCGGGCCUUGUACACACCGCCCGUCACACCAUGGGAGUGGGUUGCACCAGAAGUAGCUAGUCUAACCUUCGGGAGGACGGUUACCACGGUGUGAUUCAUGACUGGGGUGAAGUCGUAACAAGGUAGCCGUAGGGGAACCUGCGGCUGGAUCACCUCCUUA
rnacentral:rRNA from 1 species